rnacentral:rRNA from 1 species
UACGGGGGGGGCAAGCGUUGUUCGGAAUUACUGGGCGUAAAGGGCUCGUAGGUGGCCAACUAAGUCAGACGUGAAAUCCCUCGGCUUAACCGGGGAACUGCGUCUGAUACUGGAUGGCUUGAGUUUGGGAGAGGGAUGCGGAAUUCCAGGUGUAGCGGUGAAAUUCGUAGAUAUUAGGAAGAACACCAGUGGCGAAGGCGGCUCACUGGCUCGGUACUGACGCUGAGGCGCGAAAGCGUUGGGAGCAAACAGG